UUGUAGCCCUUCUUCUGCUCGCUCUCGGUGGUGGCGGUGCCGAACACCUUGUCCAGCUUCUCGAAGGCCGACUUGGACCAGAUGCAGAAGCGGCCCAGGUGGCCGCCGGGGGCCAGCUGCAGCAGGUUCAGGCGGUCCACGGAGGUCACCUCCACGCCGGGCAGGUUGCGGAAGGCCUUGGAGAUGCCCUCGUCGUUGGCGAAGACAACCAGGGGGCCCUUGCGCAUCACGUAACGCCGGUUGCGCAUCUUGCCUGGGGGCGGAUGGGAGAGAGCAGGUGUUGUUAAGCGUUGGAAGGGGUGUCAGGCAUUGGUUUGCCGGGAACUGGUGCCCCGGAGGAAGCGAUGAGCGGGUGCCGAAAGUGGUGGCGCUGAGGCGCGGCGGUCAGGACCCAGGCCGUGCGCGCUCAUCGUGG
rnacentral:lncRNA from 1 species